GAUGAACGCUGGCGGCGUGCCUAAUACAUGCAAGUCGAGCGAACAGACGAGGAGCUUGCUCCUCUGACGUUAGCGGCGGACGGGUGAGUAACACGUGGAUAACCUACCUAUAAGACUGGGAUAACUUCGGGAAACCGGAGCUAAUACCGGAUAAUAUAUUGAACCGCAUGGUUCAAUAGUGAAAGACGGUUUUGCUGUCACUUAUAGAUGGAUCCGCGCCGCAUUAGCUGGUUGGUAAGGUAACGGCUUACCAAGGCAACGAUGCGUAGCCGACCUGAGAGGGUGAUCGGCCACACUGGAGCUGAGACACGGUCCAGACUCCUACGGGAGGCAGCAGUAGGGAAUCCUCCGCAAUGGGCGAAAGCCUGACGGAGCAACGCCGCGUGAGUGAUGAAGGUCUUCGGAUCGUAAAACUCUGUUAUUAGGGAAGAACAAAUGUGUAAGUAACUAUGCGCGUCUGGACGGUACCUAAGCAGAAAGCCACGGCUAACUCCGU
rnacentral:rRNA from 1 species